CCUAGGGUGGCUGCAGUGGGGAAUAUUGGACAAUGGGCGAAAGCCUGAUCCAGCCAUGCCGCGUGUGUGAAGAAGGCCUUCGGGUUGUAAAGCACUUUCAGUGGGGAAGAAAGCCUUGGGGCUAAUACCCUCGAGGAAGGACAUCACCCACAGAAGAAGCACCGGCUAACUCCGUGCCAGCAGCCGCGGUAAUACGGAGGGUGCGAGCGUUAAUCGGAAUUACUGGGCGUAAAGCGCGCGUAGGCGGUCUGAUAAGCCGGUUGUGAAAGCCCCGGGCUCAACCUGGGAACGGCAUCCGGAACUGUCAGGCUAGAGGGCAGGAGAGGAAGGUAGAAUUCCCGGUGUAGCGGUGAAAUGCGUAGAGAUCGGGAGGAAUACCAGUGGCGAAGGCGGCCUUCUGGACUGACACUGACGCUGAGGUGCGAAAGCGUGGGUAGCAAACAGGAUUAGAUACCCCUGUAGUC
rnacentral:rRNA from 1 species